rnacentral:rRNA from 1 species
GAUGAACGCUGGCGGCGUGCCUAAUACAUGCAAGUCGAGCGAACAGACGAGGAGCUUGCUCCUCUGACGUUAGCGACGGACGGGUGAGUAACACGUGGAUAACCUACCUAUAAGACUGGGAUAACUUCGGGAAACCGGAGCUAAUACCGGAUAAUAUAUUGAACCGCAUGGUUCAAUAGUGAAAUACGGUUUUGCUGUCACUUAUAGAUGUAUCCGCGCCGCAUUAGCUAGUUGGUAAGGUAACGGCUUACCAAGGCAACGAUGCGUAGCCGACCUGAGAGGGUGAUCGGCCACACUGGAACUGAGACACGGUCCAGACUCCUACGGGAGGCAGCAGUAGUGAAUCUUCCGCAAUGGGCGAAAGCCUGACGGAGCAACGCCGCGUGAGUGAUGAAGGUCUUCGGAUCGUAAAACUCUGUUAUUAGGGAAGAACAAUUGUGUAAGUAACUAUGCACGUCUUGACGGUACCUAAUCAGAAAGCCACGGCUAACUACGUG